ACGAACAAGAGCUAAGAAGAUUGAAGCAAGUUCUUGCAGGCUUGCAGAAAAAAGUUGUGUAGGUACGUUCAUAUACAAGAUGGCAGAAGAAGUUCUCACAAUAGGAGCUGUACUUGGAGAUCGGUACAAAAAGUAUAUGGGGGGGAACCACCCGAGUGGUUCCGAACAGCAGAGGAUGCCCUGGGGAGGACUUAUUAUUGGGCAAAGGAUUGUGCAGAAAGACAUGAACAACUGCACAAAUUAUUCUCAUUUGUGUUUCUCUUGUCCUCUACGUCCCGUAAGAUCUUCCUCGGGUUGCUAGCAUCGGUUUGGGCGGUAUUCUCCUUCUUGCUAGGAUCGGUUUGGGUGGCCUUCUCAUUUAUAGUAGGAUCUCUUUGGGGAGGGAUUUCAUAUGUAGUAAUGUCCUUGUGGGCGGUGUUGGCAUUUUUAGUAGGAUCGAUUUUGGUCGUGGUUGUUUUUGUAGUAGGGUAUAUCUGGGCGGCACUUUGUUUCUUGGUAGGAUUCAUUUGGGUGGCGCUAUGUUUUGUAGUAGGAUCCAUUUGGGUAGCUCUUUGUUUCAUAGCAGCAUUGGUAUGGGCGGCGCUUCCAUUUUUGGUAGUUUCCGGCUUCGUAGUUUAUGGUGGCUUUGUUAUCUGGGGAAAGUACCAGACCAGACUCGAGCUGUUUCUGACGACGUUGAAGACGAAUCCGAAUCCGAAAGGUCCUCUGAUCAGGAUUGACGUCACGCAUGGCAAUUCCUGCUACGAAAUCAUUGUCCCUGCCUACUCCACCUUCGGGG